rnacentral:tRNA from 1 species
AGACCUAUGGUGUAACGGUAGCACAACAGAUUUUGGUUCUGUUUGUCGGGGUUCGAAUCCCUGUAGGUCUA